UACGGGGGGGGGCAAGCGUUGUUCGGAAUUACUGGGCGUAAAGGGCUCGUAGGCGGCCAACUAAGUCAGACGUGAAAAUCCCUCGGCUUAACCGGGGAACUGCGUCUGAUACUGGAUGGCUUGAGGUUGGGAGAGGGAUGCGGAAUUCCAGGUGUAGCGGUGAAAUGCGUAGAUAUCUGGAGGAACACCGGUGGCGAAGGCGGCAUCCUGGACCAAUUCUGACGCUGAGGAGCGAAAGCCAGGGGAGCAAACGGG
rnacentral:rRNA from 1 species